CUCUUCAUAGCUCAGUUGGUAGAGCGGAGGACUGUAGAUCCUUAUGGAUGUCAAACUCUGGUUGAAGAAG